rnacentral:sRNA from 1 species
AACACUGUUUUCUUUGUAGGCGUCUAUC